CGGAUAAAAGCUACCCCGGGGAUAACAGGCUUAUCUCCCCCAAGAGUUCACAUCGACGGGGAGGUUUGGCACCUCGAUGUCGGCUCAUCGCAUCCUGGGGCUGUAGUCGGUCCCAAGGGUUGGGCUGUUCGCCCAUUAAAGCGGUACGCGAGCUGGGUUCAGAACGUCGUGAGACAGUUCGGUCCCUAUCCGUCGUGGGCGUAGGAAAUUUGAGAGGAGCUGUCCUUAGUACGAGAGGACCGGGAUGGACAUACCUCUGGUGUACCAGUUGUCGUGCCAACGGCAUAGCUGGGUAGCUAUGUGUGGACGGGAUAAGUGCUGAAAGCAUCUAAGCAUGAAGCCCCCCUCAAGAUGAGAUUUCCCAACUUCGGUUAUAAGAUCCCUCAAAGAUGAUGAGGUUAAUAGGUUCGAGGUGGAAGCAUGGUGACAUGUGGAGCUGACGAAUACUAAUCGAUCG
rnacentral:rRNA from 1 species